UUUAAGGUGUACUUCAGAUGAGGUAUUUUGUCUGACGCUUCUCCACAAGUAUUUUUUGUUGUGUACCAUCACACUUACUCUAUGAUGUAUCAUUAUUUUAAAACUAACUCUGGCUAUUACUUUACAGGAUUAUAUGACCAAUUUAAGAACAAAAACUAGCUAACAUUUUAGUGGAUUCGAAAUUGAAUGUUGAUAAUAUAAGACAUUAAGACUUGAAGAUGACGGAAACAACACUAAUUCCCAAGGAUUGUAUGAUUCUGCAUAGACCCCUAAGAACGGAAACGACAUAUAUCAACAGAGAGUUGGUUAAGUCUUAAUCGACUAAGAUUUAGCAACCCCGAGCACUUGUAGGAAGAACAAAAGGCAAAUGUAAAGACCACAAACAAGCUGCUCGGAAAAAGAGAAGAGAUUAAAAAGUACAAGGACAUCAAAUAGAUGACUAGGGAAGCGGUCACACUACCAGACGUAGUGCGUGUUACAUCAAACAAAAUCCAUGAUUUUACUGGAGCUACCUUGGACCCUACUGCUUCAAUGACUAUAUGAGAAAGGCAUAUGAUCCAGACUCAGAUUCAAGUUGUGUUGAGGGUUAUGCUAACGACAUGGGUGAGAGCAAGACAUUGCAUCUCUGCUAACAUAGCUUGCUUUAUAAAGCCAAUGUAUGCCCGUAUCGACUAAUCUGAGUAUUUUCUUUUAAUCUAUUAAGACCAUGUAAUAUAAUGUAAGUAUCUAUUAAGUUAGUUCUAAAUUAAUCUCA